UACGAAGGGGGCUAGCGUUGCUCGGAUUGACUGGGCGUAAAGGGCGCGUAGGCGGUUCGUACAGUCAGACGUGAAAUUCCUGGGCUCAACCUGGGGGCUGCGUUUGAUACGUGCGGACUUGAGUGCGGAAGAGGGUCGUGGAAUUCCCAGUGUAGAGGUGAAAUUCGUAGAUAUUGGGAAGAACACCGGUGGCGAAGGCGG
rnacentral:rRNA from 1 species